UUAAACUGAAGAGUUUGAUCCUGGCUCAGAUUGAACGCUGGCGGCAUGCCUUACACAUGCAAGUCGAACGGCAGCACGGGUGCUUGCACCUGGUGGCGAGUGGCGAACGGGUGAGUAAUACAUCGGAACAUGUCCUGUAGUGGGGGAUAGCCCGGCGAAAGCCGGAUUAAUACCGCAUACGAUCUACGGAUGAAAGCGGGGGACCUUCGGGCCUCGCGCUAUAGGGUUGGCCGAUGGCUGAUUAGCUAGUUGGUGGGGUAAAGGCCUACCAAGGCGACGAUCAGUAGCUGGUCUGAGAGGACGACCAGCCACACUGGGACUGAGACACGGCCCAGACUCCUACGGGAGGCAGCAGUGGGGAAUUUUGGACAAUGGGCGAAAGCCUGAUCCAGCAAUGCCGCGUGUGUGAAGAAGGCCUUCGGGUUGUAAAGCACUUU
rnacentral:rRNA from 1 species